rnacentral:rRNA from 1 species
GUGUCAGCAGCCGCGGUAAUACAGAGGGUGCUAGCGUUGUUCGGAAUUACUGGGCGUAAAGGGCGCGUAGGCGGCCUAUCAAGUCAGACGUGAAAGCCCCGGGCUUAACCUGGGAUGUGCGUUUGAUACUGGUAGGCUAGAGGUCUGGAGAGGAGAGUGGAAUUCCUAGUGUAGAGGUGAAAUUCGUAGAUAUUAGGAGGAACAUCAGUGGCGAAGGCGACUCUCUGGCCAGAUACUGACGCUGAGGCGCGAAAGCGUGGGGAGCAAACAGGAUUAGAUACCCGGGUAGUCC